ensembl:lincRNA
GGAAUUGUGAUUAUGACAUCAUAGACAGUUCAGCUGCUUGCACUGGGGGAAAGGGAGAGUAUCAUGGUUACAGCUGGAUCACCUAAGGCAGAGAGGGAAGGAACCAACAGGUAUAUGAAGAAGACUGUAUUUCCUCCUCAGGAAGAAAAAAUCACCUAUAAGAUCCAUGGCUAUAACUGCUACCAAGCUCUGGGCUGCAGUAGUGUAUCAUCCAUAACGCAAAUAAGAAUACAACAUAUAGCAUUGAUACAAAGGAUGCACUAAAGGAUGGGCACAAAUGAAGGAACUGAGACAUGAAUUUGUUCUUAAGGAAAUUAUUCUCCAUUCUUUGAGAAGUCAACUGAAUAGGACGAAGAAACUGCUCUAUGUUAUCAAGUUUUUAAAUUUUGUAUUUAC